CGCCCGCCCUGGAGUGCCCUCCCAGCGGAAGAAAGGCCGCCAGCGGCCCUCCGCGCCCGGCCAAGCGGUCACUCCCGCCAAGAAAUUCUCAUUCCUCAGGAAGUUGUGCGGUGACCCAGCUGAGGGGCCCCCGACUCCCCAGGCUCCACUCAGGACCAUGAGCGCAGGCUUCCCUGGGGCCCACCGAGGGCUGAGGAUGGCCGUCCAGCCCACUACCCGGGGCCCCACUCGGACAGCUGCAUCGUCCU
rnacentral:lncRNA from 1 species